AAAGUCGUAACAAGGUUUCCGUAGGUGAACCUGCGGAAGGAUCAUUAACACGUAUCCAACGUUAAACCCCCCUGUGAACCUUCAUUGUGCUCCCCCAUUCCGUUAGGACGCGGCAAUCCCUGGUAAAUCAUCGCCGAACAGUUUUGAUUCAGGGACCUCUGCAUGGAGUGGGCUUGCAGCGCGAGGCAAGUGGCCUGGCAUUCGUAAGAAUGGCGCAGUAACGAUCGCUAGAGGCCGACACGGCCGGCGACCGGGUCACCGGGCUCACGCCCCCCUAUCACCUUUGCAUGAAAACGGGCCUGCGCUUAAUUGUGCGGCCACCAAACUCGAACAACUGUUAACAAUGGAUAUCUUGGUUCUC
rnacentral:misc_RNA from 1 species